UACAGAGACUGCAAGCGUUAUUCGGAUUCACUGGGCGUAAAGGGUGCGUAGGCGGCCAAGUGUGUGAGGCGUGAAAGCCCGGGGCUUAACCCCGGAAUUGCACCUCAAACUACAUGGCUAGAGCAUUGGAGAGGGUAGCAGAAUUCACGGUGUAGCAGUGAAAUGCGUAGAUAUCGUGAGGAAUACCAGAGGCGAAGGCGGCUACCUGGACAAUUGCUGACGCUCAGGCACGAAAGCGUGGGGAGCAAAAGGG
rnacentral:rRNA from 1 species